GACGAACGCUGGCGGCGUGCUUAACACAUGCAAGUCGAACGGAAAGGCCCUGCUUUUGUGGGGUGCUCGAGUAGCGAACGGGUGAGUAACACGUGAGUAACCUGCCCUUGACUUUGGGAUAACUUCAGGAAACUGGGGCUAAUACCGGAUAGGAGCUCCUGCUGCAUGGUGGGGGUUGGAAAGUUUCGGCGGUUGGGGAUGGACUCGCGGCUUAUCAGCUUGUUGGUGGGGUAGUGGCUUACCAAGGCUUUGACGGGUAGCCGGCCUGAGAGGGUGACCGGCCACAUUGGGACUGAGAUACGGCCCAGACUCCUACGGGAGGCAGCAGUGGGGAAUAUUGCACAAUGGGCGGAAGCCUGAUGCAGCAACGCCGCGUGCGGGAUGACGGCCUUCGGGUUGUAAACCGCUUUCGCCUGUGACGAAGCGUGAGUGACGGUAAUGGGUAAAGAAGCACCGGCUAACUACGUGCCAGCAGCCGCGGUGAUACAUAGGGUGCGAACGUUGUCCGGAUUUAUUGGGCGUAAAGGGCUCGUAGGUGGUUGAUCGCGUCGGAAGUGUAAUCUUGGGGCUUAACCCUGAGCGUGCUUUCGAUACGGGUUGACUUGAGGAAGGUAGGGGAGAAUGGAAUUCCUGGUGGAGCGGUGGAAUGCGCAGAUAUCAGGAGGAACACCAGUGGCGAAGGCGGUUCUCUGGGCCUUUCCUGACGCUGAGGAGCGUAAGCGUGGGGAGCGAACAGGCUUAGAUACCCUGGUAGUCCACGCUGUAAACGGUGGGUACUAGGUGUGGGGUCCAUUCCACGGGUUCCGUGCCGUAGCUAACGCUUUAAGUACCCCGCCUGGGGAGUACGGCCGCAAGGCUAAAACUCAAAGGAAUUGACGGGGCCCCGCACAAGCGGCGGAGCAUGCGGAUUAAUUCGAUGCAACGCGUAGAACCUUACCUGGGUUUGACAUGGAUCGGGAGUGCUCAGAGAUGGGUGUGCCUCUUUUGGGGUCGGUUCACAGGUGGUGCAUGGCUGUCGUCAGCUCGUGUCGUGAGAUGUUGGGUUAAGUCCCGCAACGAGCGCAACCCUUGUUCACUGUUGCCAGCACGUUAUGGUGGGGACUCAGUGGAGACCGCCGGGGUCAACUCGGAGGAAGGUGGGGAUGACGUCAAGUCAUCAUGCCCCUUAUGUCCAGGGCUUCACGCAUGCUACAAUGGCUGGUACAGAGAGUGGCGAGCCUGUGAGGGUGAGCGAAUCUCGGAAAGCCGGUCUCAGUUCGGAUUGGGGUCUGCAACUCGACCUCAUGAAGUCGGAGUCGCUAGUAAUCGCAGAUCAGCAACGCUGCGGUGAAUACGUUCCCGGG
rnacentral:rRNA from 1 species